UUGAACUCACAACCCUGGGUUUAGCAGGCCAAUGCUCAAACCACUGAGCUAUCCCUCCCUACCCUAAAAAAUUGAAAUCCCAAUAGCUAUUCCACUCUAGCUCCACACAUUAGGGUACCUUUACACAGCAGUUUGGAGGUGUGACUGCAGCAAGCAUAGGCAUUCCCAAACUAAUUUUUAGCUAGCUAGCUAGAUCAAAGCAGCAUCAAAGCCAUGGCAGCACAAGCACAGGCUAGCCAUGAGUGCAAGCCCUCUGGGGCACUAGAUAUGUAUUCAGGUGACAAGCCCAUGCCACUGCAGUUUCACAGCAAUCUUUAGUGGACCAGUUAGAGCCAAGUAUGGCUACAGUCACAUCUCCCAAUUCCUGUAGAGAUAUACCCUAGAAGAGUGUCUUUUCGCAGUCUAAUUUAACCCACUUCUGAAGUCAAUUAAGCUAAAUUGGACAAAAGCAUCCCUACUGCAGAAUAAGAGUGUCCAUAUGUGCAGCUAAUGCAGAAUCGGUAUUGAACAUUAGCUAUUCCAGGCUAUUUCCCCAUGCAGACAAGUCCUUAGAAUGUAAGCUCCUUGGAGCAGGGACCUGUCAUUCUGUCCAAACUAUUAUGCACAUCUGUAGUGCUGUAUAAAUAAAGGACAGUUACAAGUGGAAACAGAAAUGUAUAUAAUGUAUUUAAUCUGGUUAGAUUUUUGUUCCAACUGCUAUAAUCAUUUUUGGCUAGGGUCCAGAUCAAAGUAGUGAGUUUCUCAAAAACCUCUUCCCUAAGGUGUAAAAUUCAUGCCAAGAUAAAUGUGUUCAUAUUACAGCAAAUCACUUUCACUUAUAUUCAAGUGAAAGUAUUUCUAUUACAGGAUGGGUAAGACUGUAGCAAAUAAAAAGCCAUACCACUACAAUGCUUUAGUUGUUAAUGUAAUGAGUAUCGGGGGUACUAGCCUUCUGUCUCAAGAACAUAGUUCUAAACUUUAUUUAUGUAACAGUUGUGCCAUCCAACUCAGUCUCAUCCUAGUCUAUUUGUGCACAUAACAAAAACCACACACUUUGCUAUUCUGGUUCUCACUAUCCUUUAAGCAGAGUAGGCUAUGAUACUGCAGGUCAGAAGAUGGUGCACUGACAAACCUGAGCGUGCAAGUCUACACUGGACUCCAUCUGCUUUAAUGGUGUUUCACUUUGUCCAUAUCAAAUUAACUCAAAAUCUAAAUAUAGUUACAUGGCCAGGACACUUCACUUGCAAUCAGCUAUUUGCUAUUUGCCCACCACUUUGGGGUCUAAGACCCAAAAAUAAAUAGUGUUUUCCCCUCUGGAAUCCGGGGUGGGGGGGGGAGAGUGAAUCUAUACCUUCACCGUUUUUUUGUUUGUUUGUUUUUUAAAUGGACUCUGUUCUGGGGAACUAUCAAAAAAAAUACAUCCUCCAGUUCGUGAGAUUUCUGAUUUAGGUUACCUAACCACUCCUAAAGCUAUAAAAGUUUUACAACCUUAUAAAUGUUUUCAAGCUACUAAUGUUACCUGUACAGUAUAAUUUAGCUUUUAAAGUAUUAUAUAUCAUUCAGUUUGCUUCCUUGUUAGGAACAGUUAGUAUAACUUCAAAAAGGCCAUGAAAUAAAUUACUACAGUUUAGUUGGAAUCUUCACUCAGUGACAAUGUCUGCAUGGUAUUGAUGCUUGCGCUAUACAAGGUAACAUCUGUGGAUUAUAACCUCAUCAGGGCAGUUUAUGGGUUUUUCUAAGAAGUCUUACAAGUUGUGCCUGAUACCUGAAACAGUAUUCUUUCCCCCUAGUGCCUGCCUACAUUUAGUUCUGCUUUGUGCCACAGCAGAGGCUAGUAAUAAAUAAUAUACCACUUGUAUUAUUAUAACACCUAGGAGCCCUAGUUAUGGACCAGGACCCCAUUAUGCUAGGCAUUGUAUCUGUGCUCCUACAUCCGCAUAUAAUUUUAUAAAGAUGUCAGGGCUGCAUUCUUACCUCCUCCCUAUUUGUUUGAAACAAUACCAUGAGUACCUAUGUGAAAAGGGUGCUACGAAGUGCUGUGGAAAUUAUUUCCAUCUCCUGAACACAGCAAGAGAUUUUAUUUAAGGUAGGCAGGGCCUGCAGCACAGGAAUCUGAUCUGUGUGGAGCGGGGGAGGGGGGGCAACGCAGACAGCUGGGCAUCCUGGCCCAAGACAGAGAGAUCGCAGGGAGCCUUUGGAAGGGGAGGCCUAGAAUCAAGACUGACCCUGAAAGGGGGAGGCUCAUUUCCCAGCCGGUAGGAGCCGAAGGGCCUUUAUCAACCACGGCCAAGGAACAGCCCCUGCCUGCGACGCCUGCUGCACACAGGCUCCUUCACCCGCCACCAUGGCAGAGACCAAUGAAGCAAAACCUUUGCAACUUUGAUGUGGCACGGCAAGAACUCAAAUCAGAUAACUACAUGCAAGAAUGAUCUCAACCAGUAGAUUGUCCCAAUACUAUAGUCAAAUUCCUGCCAACCAUUAUCUUCAGUAUUUAAGCCCAGUGGAAGAAAAUAGCAAGAGGAGACCAGGCAGGAUGUGAUGUUAUCAAGAUAGUUGUCACAGAUCAACCAUGCAAAAUGCUUUGUGUUGAUCUACAUGAAAAUGCAAUGUUCUGUAGCUUUGCAUUGUACGUGCUUUAUCAGUGUAUUGGUAGUUUAAUUAAGCAAGCUGUUAUACACUACCUAGCAGAUCCUUUAUAUCUCUGCAUUUGUUUGCUCCUGCAUUAUGUUAGCAUUUUGACUUAGAAAGGCACAGUUGCUUCUAAAAAUGAGCCUGAUUCCAUUGAUACCUCACACAGACGCCAUGUGAAGGUGGGAGAAAAACUCAAAAGUGGGGAAAAUAAAAAUGGCUCUGAAGCUAGAUGAUUUCUCUCACUAGAGAUGCUUUGGAAAUGGAGCCACCAGUGCUGCAUGCCCCACAUGAGUAUGUGAAAGCAUGAGUGAGAGGGGUAUGAUGACAAGUCAGAUGCAGACAGCAUUCAUCCCCAUCUUGAGAAAUUUACAAUCCUUUCAGGACUCUUUAACACAAUUUCCCUCACCUAACCUAUUCUUUAAACAUUCUAUUUCAAAACUAUUUUGAUGUCCACAAAAAUAUAUGUCUGCUUUCUUCCACUACUAUUCAUUAUAAAGGCCUAAGGAAUAUUUAAAUGAAACAGGAUUUUUGAACUAUAUUUUUAAUUUAAGUACAAAGCAGAUCAUCAUAAACAAACGCUCAUGAACUAUAAAAGUCACAUGAGUCAUGAUGCCUGUAUGGUAAACAAUGAAUACAAACUGCCUACAUUUAUACAAAAAAGGAUUGCAUUUUUUUUUAAUUUGAAUAGCAAUUCCACCCUCAGUUCUCUCAAAAACUGGCUUCUACUUUCUCCACUCCAGUUAAACUGCUCUCAUCAAGGUUUCAGAUUAUAGGUCUGAUCACAAAAUUUCAAAUUUUUAAAUUCUUCAGUGAAGAAAGGACAGACAAUCUGCCAAACAUUUUUGGCCAGCUCUAUCAAUAACCUCUCCUGGCCAAAGUGAGGGCCCCUUCCCCAGCCCAUGCUCAUCCUCUCUGCUGCUCUAGAUACUGUUGAUUGUACCCUCUUUCUUGACAUCUGUCCUGCUUUGGCUUGCACAAUACAAUCCUCUGCUGGUUCUCUCCCCUUCUCUCUUUACACUCUUUUCUUAAGCUGAUCUCAUCUGCUCACACGGCUUUAACGAUCUUCUCCAUGUUGAUGCCUCACAAAUGCACAUCUUCAUCCUGUUCCAUAUUGCAGGUUGUCUCUCUGGCAUCUCCUCCAGGAUGUGUCCAAAAAUCAAACUUGUAUUUCCUCCCAAGCUCUCCCCAUGCAUCCCCAUUAUCUGUUACUGUUGUACACACAGCCAUUUUUUGUGUCAUUCAGUGAAGCUUUUGAUCUAAGUAUCAUCUUGGACUCCUUCCUCUCCCUAGUCCACACAUCCAAAUCCUGCCACUUCUUCCUCAACACUAUCUCUGUGAUCUGGUUCAUUUCUAGCUAGUCAGCAACCUGAAACACUUGUCCAGGCCUUCAGCAUCUUAAUUUCUAGUCCCUCCUCUUCCUUUCCAGCCUCUUAACAUUGGCCUCUCCCAGUUCACACAAAAUGAAUCCUUUAGAAUCAUAUUAAUCUUCUUCUACUAGCUUCCCCUUCUCCACACAUCAAGUUCAAUAUUCUUGUCCUCCCUUUAACGACUUGCAUAACUCCACCUCCCCUUCACCCCCCAAAUAAUCCAUUCUUGUGAGGUAGGGAAGACUAGCUCCUUCCUAAUUUCUAGCCCAGAAACCAUUUGGAGACCUUCUUCUGAUAAAACACCUUGUGCAGUUUAUUUACAAUGUUCUUUCCCACAGCCUUUACAGACUAUGCAGCCUUGGAUCAGCAGUACCAUGGAGCAUCUGGCCCAUGAGGGAAGGAGAUCUCUCACAUCUGAGUUUGCAAGUCCCCCUCUCAUGCAUCCUUAUUGUGCCUUUUGUACUGUAACACUGAACCCCAUAUUCUUCAUAGUGAUAUUAUUAUGAUAGGAUUAUGGCAUA